rnacentral:rRNA from 1 species
ACAUACGACCAUAGACUCAAGAGAAUUGGGCAUCCCGUCUGCUCUGCCAUACACAAGCUUGAGAUCGGUGGAUUAGUAGUUGGGUGGGUGACCACCAGCGAAUACCCACUGUUGUAUGUU